GGUUGGUUGUUUACAAACCUAAACACAAAUUGAAAUUAAUUCUCGUCACCUACUGUUCAUAAAAUUUUAGCUUUCUGACUACAAUUUCAGCAAACCAGGAGCUGAUCGAGAACCAGGUGCCCUAUGGCAAUUGUGUCAUUUACAUCGAAUUGGAGGAAGUUGGCCACUGAUUUAAAGGAAGGAAAUCAUUCACGCCCCACAAAUUGCUCCACAUAUGAAAUUUAUGUCCCAAUUAUGGUUAUCAUCAGCUUUACAUUAUUUUGAAAUUUUCCUCAUAAAUCUUGUGCUCUCAGGAUUACUUACACCGCGGAGCUACUGCUAUCGUUUAAACGCGGGAAUAACUUACAAGGGUGCCCAAAGUGAAAUGUAAGUAGUUACCGUUACCCCCUGCAGUUUACUCGAAUCGCAGUGCCGUCUCCUGCGCAAAAAGCGACCAGCACAGAUGUCUUGGCUCAAGGAUGCACAACUGCCAAAGGAACAUUCAGCAUCCUGUUCUUCUUGUUGUCGGUAUGUUUGCCAUCGAUGAUGGUCGGGUAUGUUUCACAUCACAGAGCUAUGCCACGUACAGCAUUCGGCUAACGACCAUCCAAAAAUCACGGCUGUUGUGCGUCGAAGUGUGCUUUGUCAUGUGUCAUAGAUAACAGUUUCUGCCUGUCACCAAAUGCCCCAGUUAAGAACGUCAUUUUUAAGACGAAGAAAUUUCGCGAACCAGAUUUUUUUUUCUUACGGCAAUUAGAAUAAAAAAUCAGUUUUCUUUUUUUGCUUUUGAAACACACAAAAAAAGAAGUUCUGAUCAACUGCAAAGGUUCUCAGUUUAAGCAGCAAUCGAGUCGAAAAUCCACAUUCCUUUAUUGUUUUUGUUUGUUUUUUAAUUUUUAUCGCCAAGUGCUAGAGACAAAAGAGAAAUUUCUUAAGUCUGACGGGAUAAAUUCUUAAGGUCCAUUAAGGUUCCGUCUACAUAACGUCGUAUUCUCUCUCCUCGUUGACAGAGUGAAUAACAAACUGGAUUGCUUUUCGUCACCUGUGUUGUUUAUGAAAUCUUUCAUCGUGGUCCGUCUCGGCCAUCGUACCAGAAAACCCAAUUCAUGUACACAAAAACAGAUGAAAGAUGAGGUGUGUACGUAGACUUUAUCUUCACUUUGCUUGGUGCUGGUCUUGGGGCGUUUGUAUACAAAAGGUAUGGCGCGUUCUUUCCGAUUGUUUGCUCAGGUUAUCGAUAGACACUUGUGUACAGAGCUGAUGCGACCAGUUUGUAACAGUAUAUGUAGACUGCCAAAAGUUAUCAACAUUGAUGAUAACACACUCGGCUCAUCUAUCUUAACACACAUAUACACGUACAGUAUCUGUCCGGUUGCUGUACAAAUAUGCACCAAAGCUUUAUCCUAUAUCAAUAUUUUUUUCUUUUUCUCUCUCUUUCUUUUGCUGACCAACGGCCGAGUGCAAAAUAAACUGACGGUUUAAAAUACAAACCUGGGCGAAAUAUGUAAGUCAAAUAACAGAUUGCAGGAAAUGCAGCUUACCGAAGUUCUUGAAAAAAUAAAAGUGCUAAAGAUUUUGUAAUGGCGAUACAAAAAAAACAUGUUUCUCUUAUAUUUUUAUGAAAGUAGAAACCUAGACAAAAGAGUACGAUAAUAACUCAAAACAGCAAAGCAAAACAAGGCGUACGAAUGCUUCGUUAUUGAUCCAUCAAAUGCUUCAUUCUGAUCAAACGCUUUGAUGGUUCUUUGAUGGCCGAUUUUCAUCCAUCCAAAUGGUUUCAUCUUUUUCAUGCUUUAUUUAUUUCUUCCCCCCAGAGCCCCCCUAGACUUCGAAAAAGGAGAGAAGAAUCUCUGUUAUCCAGCUCUAACUCCAGCAUAUUUAUUGUCCGUGCCAUGGGGUACCAAUUUACGAAAGUACUACAACCAACCUGACAUCUAUUGACUUAAAAAUUGCUGUCGUCUGCGAAAAAAAAAUGAAAAA
rnacentral:lncRNA from 1 species